rnacentral:rRNA from 1 species
GACGUAGGGCGCGAGCGUUGUCCGGAUUUAUUGGGCGUAAAGAGCUCGUAGGCGGCUUGUCGCGUCGAAUGUGAAAUCUCAGGGCUCAACUCUGACAUUGCAUUCGAUACGGGCAGGCUAGAGUUCGGUAGGGGAGACUGGAAUUCCUGGUGUAGCGGUGAAAUGCGCAGAUAUCAGGAGGAACACCAGUGGCGAAAGCGGCUUCCUGGUCCAGCACCGACGUCAGGCACGAAAGCGUGGGGAGCAAACAGG